CAUUCCUUCCUCUGGGACUGUCAGACUACUUGGAGCAAUUCAUCACCCAUUGGGGCCAAACUCUUCUAUGACGGGAAGUGAGGGAAGAAAGAUAGUAUUCUGCGAAAGAUAAAAUCGAAGAGUAUUUCAUCAUUUAUAUUCAGUUUUUAAACAAUGAUUUCCCCAAUGAGGCUAGAUUCAGAGCAUGGCCGACCAAGCAUGUCUACCAAGAGCAGCCUACCAUCUUUCAAAAUGAGAAGAGGAUCUGGAAGAAAAUAGCAAGGAGAAGCUUCCUCCAUACCGCAAGAACAUUAGUGUAGGCUUCAAGAUGCUCAGGGAAACAACCAAGACACACACACUGACAAGAAAACUUCCUGCAAGUAUCUCCAACUGAGGGAGGCUCGUGUCCGGUAUGGUGACCAAGACGAAGAGGCAGGGGGGUGUUGCCAUCUUUCAGGACCAUCUCUACUGCAUCCAUAGGGACAGCUGUUCCAGGAGAUGAUGUAAGAAUGUGCCUGUGUGCCCUGUGCCUGCUUCAGGGAAGUGAAGAUGGGCAACAUGAUUACUGUGGCCCAGUGCAGGGUCCUAAACAGGACUGUAUCCUUCAGUAUCUGGAGUUACUAAGGCCACUGACACCAAGAAGCAGUUCUGUGAAGUCUGAGACCCAAGGGUAUCUGACCCCAAACAGAGUUAUUCUCCCACUCAAAGAAAACAAAAGAGCAACAGCUAUUGAUGGUAGUGGUUUCCAAGCUCAGAGGGUGAAGUAAGAUAAUCCCUGAGGAGCACUGGGCAGUACCUCUGGGGUGUAGUCACUACUAACCAGAACAACUAAAAUACAUGUUGAAGAGUUUUUUGAUUUAUAUGCUAGAAUCUACAAGAAGACAAUAAACUUUCUUUCAGACUUCUGGACCCUGGGCCUACACAGCCAGUCAUGUGACUGCCUUUCCUCUGCACCUCUCUUUCCACACACUCCUCCAAAAUUGUAUACCACAUGGUGGCCAGUGGGAGGCUCAGGGACUGUCACAGGUUUGUCCCACGGUUUGACUGGUGCUGGGAUCAGGUCAGUGAAGCUGCCCACGGAUUUGUCACGCUCCUAUGAGUCUAUCUUGCGAUGGGAAUGAGAAUCAUUGUCACCGGCCUUAAGAACCUGAUAACUUGGCAUUUUCUCAAACACAGACCAAGGCUCUUCAUGCCAGCAGACAUCAUCAUCUGGAAAUGUGUGUGUGAUCAUGUACGAUUGCAUCCCUGAGGCUGGGGAUGUGCAAGAGCCACAUAAGUUUCUGGCUAAUGAGGAAGGCAGCUGUCACAUUUUCCUACAUCCCUUGCACUCAUACAUAAACCUUAAGGUAGAUUACUGGAAUGCAUUAAAAAUGCAGCCUGAAGCCAGCUCAAUUCUUAGCUGUUUUGCUUCUUUGGGGAAGAAGCUUAACCUUUCUAAAAGUAAUUAAAACUAACAUUUGUUUAUGUGUCAA